rnacentral:rRNA from 1 species
AUUGAACGCUGGCGGCAGGCCUACCACAUGCAAGUCGAGCGAGCCGCGGCCGGGGGAGUAAUGUCUGGGAAAAUGCCUGAUGUAGAGGGAUAAAUACUGGAUACGGUAGCUAAUACCGCAUCCAAUAAGACGUGCCCAGAUGGGAUGAUCGUGUAGGUGGGGUAACGGAUCACCUAGGCGACGCUCCCUAGCUGGGCUGAGAGGAUGACCAGCCACACUGGAACGGAGACACGGGCCAGACUCCUACGGGAGGCAGCAGUGGUGAAGAUUGCACAAUGGGCGCAAGCCUGAUGCAGCCAUGCCGCGUGUGUGAAGAAGGCCGUCGGGUUGUAAAGCACUUUCAGCGGGGAGGCGUUACCCGCAGAAGAAGCACCGGCUAACUCCGUGCCAGCAGCCGCGGUAAUUC